GUGUGUGUGUGUGUGAGUGUGAGUGAUGCAUCUUUCCAGCGAAGAUCUUGGUGAGGAACCUGGGCAGCCUACACAGGUGGACCUCAUCAGCCCCAUCAGUGGUGGGGAUAAAGGAGCAGCAGAACCUUCACUCAGUGCUGGAUGAUUAACGUGCACCGAUCAGUUUCUGGAUUCACCUACGGGAUCUGUUCCAUUGUUGUCUCCUCUCGUGUGGAUCACCUGCAAGUCUGCCUGCCCGCUGCUCCCUCCGCACCACUCAAUCGCUCCUGGAAGGAUCAAGGAGAACUACUUUUCUGUUAUUGCAAGGAAAUAAAACUCCUUACCUUUA